AUUCUCCUUACGCUUCAGGUCUCUGCCUGCCAAGAUGUCAUCGCCUUGCUCUUUGCUCUAGGACUGCCAUGGUUCCCUCCAGCCCUUUUAGGCUUUCCUGUUUGAAGAUUAACCCUACAGUCUCCUGCUGGACAACUUAAUUCAGCUGAGGAGAAACAGCAGUACAUGACAGAUAAGAAAGUAAUUGCGCCCUGAGGAAGCAUGAGGAGUGCCUGCGUCAUAUAUACUUGCUUUACAAAACAGCAGCUACUUAUUCAAAGGAAGCGGCCUUUGGAAUCACAAACAGAGUAUAUGGAAAAGACGUAGUUGCAGGAACCUCAUUAGAUUUCUAACAUGGCUAAGCAGGGCAGGUUCUAUCCUCGUUUUCUGCCAUUAGAGAUGGUGGAAAAACAGAUCGUGUAUCUCUUUGUUUUCCCGUGCUAAAUAUUUUGUGGCCAGAUCACAGGAGGAGGGCAGAGAGAUGGAAAAUUCAUGGUGAGAAGCCUGAGAGGAAGAGACAGGAGAGUUGGGAUUAGGCAGUUUAGGGUGAGGAGGAGAUGGUAGUUCCAAGAUGGGGCUGAGAUUCAUCUAGAUUUGUUUUUCCCAGAGAUAGAAAGAAAUCACACACUUCUUUUUUUUUUUUUUUUUUUUCUUUUUCUUUUCUUUUUUUUCUGAGGGUCUUAAUGAUGUUUAGCCUUCAAGCUUCACAAAAUGUCACCCAUCACGUGCCCCAGAGAUUAGAGGCACCCACCUAGCAGCUCGUGCUGCUGUCUCUCACCUUUGCUGUUAGAGGGGCAAAUGCAUGGAAGGAUUACGGACAUCCAGAAAAGAAGAGCAGACAAAACCAUGGAAAAAAAAAUCAUCAAGAUUUAUUAACCAAGAGAUCCCUCCUUUCAAGUGGGAAAAUACCAGGCAGAGCUCAGAGCACAGCAGCCUCCAUUCCCUCACCCUCUUUGUGCCCUUUCCUUGCUGCUGUUACAACGGGACAGCAGGCUGGAUGGAUGCUUGACUUUGCUCACUGCAAAUGUUCUUCUCCUCUUUGAACCUCAAAGGUAAAAAUAGUUAGAGAUCUCUGACUUGAUUCAAGUGUCUUUCAGAUGGGAAAAGCUUUCAAUUGCUUCCAGCCUGGGGCCAGUGCAGUACCAGUGACCAUGAAAUGGAAGGCUCUGCAUCCUGUAUUAACCAGUCACAGCAGUCUUGUUCUCUCUUCUUUGCCUUGCCUUGCCUUUGCUUUUUUCAUCCUCUAAUGAAGCACAAGUAUCCGGAAGGAAUGCAUGCUAGGGGUGACAGGGAAAUGUCCUUCUGAUCUCUCCUCUUGAAGGAAGAUUUGGAACAUUUUAAUAAAGUGGAUUAAGAACUUGGACACAAAAAAUAACCUGUUUCCCCAUGAUGGGUGCUUUAAUCUUCUCCCUGAGCUGCUGACAAAAGCUUUCCUUAAAGAAGCCUCCUGAGCACAAAAGGGAGAAUAAAAGAAUGGGAGAAUAGACAAAGAUUUGCAAGAUGUUUAAAGGCACCCCCAAAAAAAUGAAGCUGCUUGGGUGCUAAUUGUAUUCACUAUUCCCAGAGCCUGUUUUCCUCUUACACUUCUGAUUUUGGAUCAAUGCUAGAGACUGCAAAACUAACCCAAGGAAGGAAAAAGCCUUUGAUUAGACAAUCUGAGUGAUAAAGAAACGUAUUGAACAGAAAGCACUGUCAAUGAGCUACUCAAUGCAACAAUUAGAAGGUGAAACUUUUUCUUUCCCUUUCUAAGCAAGACACACCGAUGCUCUGCUGAAAGGAGGUGGGUGGGAGGAAUUUUUCUUGUUUUGGUGCCCAAUUGUCUCCUGGACCUUUUUCAUUCACAUCACCCAAUGUAGACUAUCUGACAUUUGAAGGGACACUCCUGGUGUUUCCAGUAACAAGCUUUCUGUGACAAUAAAUGAAUAAAGAGGUGAAGAAAAAUGUUAUCUGUGCAGCUGUCCCUGGAAUGUUUCUGUUUGAAGAGUCUUUCCAACACUGAUGGUCAUACAGCUGAAGUUUUGCUCUGAUGGGGAAUCCCACUGUUCCAUGAGCAUGACGUGAGAAUAAAACCUGAGUUGGUUGGUUCAAAGAGCCAACAUGCCUGGACUGUACCUACUCCAAUCCAGGACAGACCCUGUUCUGCUUUUGCUGUGGUUCUGCAGAGGCAAAAGAUACCACCCUAGGCUCUCUUGAAACAUGGGUUGGGAAAACGAGACACCCAAGGCAACCUGGCCUCAGUGACAGUGCCUCUGGACAUCAAGGGGGAGCUCAGGAACAAAUUUCUGCAAGGAACUUUCUACAACUUUCUAAGUCCUCUUCCAAGUGGAUGAUGGCUUUGCUUCUCCAGGAUGCAAAGACACUGGCCUGAUUGCUCUGGAAAAACUUUCAGCCAAGGCUUUGGCAAUCAAGAUUGACUUUGGAGACUGACUUUGCUUCUUGAACUGUUCUGGACCUGUUGGCUUCCCAGCCUUUGAUUGGAUGCACCAUUUUUGUGAUAUACCACAGCAAUCCAGCAGCAAUUCCACACUUACACAUCUCCUCUAAGAAGACAAUAAUUCUCAUGGAGAAGCAUCUGUGCAGAUCUGUUCCUUGGUCCUCAGUAACAAUAUAGGAUCCCAUGCAGCAAGGAUGAGGCAAGAGAUGACAGCUCACCACACAAGACCAAUCUGGGUGACAAAGCAAAGUCCUCUCUUUGCUUAUCCCUUGCCUUCCUGUGCAGCAGGACUGCCAGAAGUUACAGCAGUGCAAUACUCAGCAGGAUGACAAGGAACCUGCAGUCCGGAAGAGAAGCAGCCCAGACAUCCCUGUGUUCCUGCUGCUCAGUGAUGUGGUUGUGUAUGGGAUGCAAUCAGUGCUGUGCAGCUGCUCCUACAUUAGUGUGCAUCGGAGACACUCGAUGGGAUGGACAAAUCUUCUCUCAGCAUCGUCUCAAGACUGCUGGGCCUUUGCUGUUUAUUCCUCUCGUGGUUUUGUAUGGAAUCAUAGAAUCAUCACCAUUGGAAAAGACCAUAAAGGUAAUCUAAUACAACCAUCAACCCAUCACCACCAUACCACUAAACUGUGAAAUAGGAACCAUAGUAUCAGGAGAGGACACAGAAUGUAUCUCCUUUUACCCCAACCUCACUUUUUCCUUUCUCCCUACCAAUUCUCAACAUGAAUGGGCCACCUAACAUAGUUCUCAGCCAGGUUAGAUCCCAUCACCUACAAGCAGAAGAUGGCUUCCCUUAAUGCUAUGGUUCCCUCCAGCCUGCCUGGGUCUGCAAAGGCUGGGAUGGUGCAGCACAGGCGUGCUCUCCUUAUGUGCCAUUAUUUGCCAGAUGUGACUGAGGUACAGUCUUCCUGGAUCUUGAUUUCUGUCUGCUGAGCCUCCUGGUGCUCUCUGCAGUGCAGUUUAUUUGCCUUGGGGUGGAUGGGAAGGUCUCCCUCUGAGCUGUGAAAUCAUGUUCUGUUGGCCCUGGUGAAGUCAGACCCUGAAAUACACAUGGGGAAGGCAAGGAAAUGGUAGUGUGGAAACUGAGCGUAGGGGGUGAUUAGUAAAUGUUGGGACGGGAACCAAGAGGGGUCACAUUUUGCUACCCUAUGUGCUUGUAGCACUAAACAUUAAUUUUAUGAUGAGCAGAAGGAAGAGAGGGGAAAAAAAAAAAGACAACUAGCAAGUGACCUAAUCAGCUAUUAAAAUAUUUCCAAGCAGUGAAAUUAAUACAAUUCCCAACUCAUAACUUAUUUGUCUCUGUACAAAAUUAACAUAGAUAAAUAAAUUAAAAAAAAUAACCUCACCCAAACUGCUUCAUAAUAAAAUGUGAUCAUAGCAAUAAUAAGAUGCUUCAGUGCAUGAAUUUAGUUGCAUUAAUUCACCCCCAGGUGUAAUUGACAGCUCUCAGCCUUCAGCUUUCUGCUGAACAGCCUACUGCGGCUGAAUUAUUAUACCUGGCACUUCAGACUCUUCCACAUCUCAUUGCCUAAUUGUCUUCUCUUCUAGUAGGUGAGUGUUAAACUCAGACAUUAAAGGAUCUCUGCCAAUUACCUGAAGCUCAACAUUUGAUCUGCCUGAAAAUCUCAGCGGUCCAGGGGAGGCUGCUCCUCCGCCUGCAUCCUGAGCACUGCUCUGUCCUUCUGAGGGUGGUAUAAAGCAAGAGUAACUCUACUUCUGGUUGUAAGGGCAUAAACAGAGGGGAAAAUUGAGGGAAUUUGGGGAACAAAUCUGUUCACUCUAUCCUUUCAACAUCAAUGCUAGCACUGAUACAGUAGCGGCUGCUAAUUACAUAGGAUUUAUAGAAAAAUGUAUUGCACUCUUUGUUUUCUCUCUGCUGGAUUUACAGAUGCCAUUUGACUGCUGCUUCUGUGCAAUACUUUGUAAAAGCAGCAGCUUUUCUGGGAUUACCUCCCCACUGUAUUGCUUCUGGUGCCUGCAGCUCAGUGAUGUGUUUCAAUCUGCGGUCACUGCAAAGCCCACGUAGCACAGUGGUGCUUUGGAGACUCUUGUUUGCAAACCAAUCAGUUAAAUUAAGAAGCUUGAUUCUCAGUACUGUGUGAUGACAUCUCCAAUUUAGCUGGUGCCCCAGUGAGGAAGUAAACAAACAAUAAAAGUGUCACUAUUCCUUCUAGUUCCAUUAGACAAACAAGAAGUUUAUUCAGCGUUUUGGCAAAUGAAAAUUUAAGCAAACUGUCAAGGGAGACAUUUUCCACAUCAAAUGUUUUCUGAAAGGGGAUUAUAACAAGAAAGAGCUAUCACCCACCAUGUCAUUAUAAACAAAGGCUCCUGUGAACCCCUUUUAUUAAAGAUUAGCAGCACUGAUUACAGACUUUCCAGGCUGAGCCAAAGGCAAAUUAGAAUAUCUUUUGCUUUGGGAUAACUUAUGCUACCUUCUUGGGCACUGAGAUGAUUACAAACUCCCGAGAGCAGAAUACCUUCACCUAUGGCCAUCCAUUCUCUGCUGUUUAGAAGCAGCCUGGCGAUCUGUCUGGACCUAUUUGCUGCCUGAGAUCAACACUUCAUUCUGCCUUCUACCAUACAGUUCCAGUCCUGCUGGAUUGAACACAUACCCAUCUCAUCUGCUGACUCCUCCUGCCUCAGAGCCUAUCAGACCUUCAGCUUUAGACCUGUGCGCAUUCCUACAAGCAGGUGGACACUGCUGAGUUGGCCUCCAGUCCCCUGGAUGCAUCCCGAUCCCAGGACACUGCAC